rnacentral:misc_RNA from 1 species
GAGAACACAGUUAAAGUUUCUGUAGCGCUGCAGCAAAGUUGAAUAUACCAGAGAAUGUUACCAAUGCAUUCAUUGAGAAUCCAUCAAUGGUAAUAUUUGCAUUGCCACCAAACAAUUUAUUGCCCUCAAAAGGCGACUGGAACAGCAUUGCUUAUAUGCUAUACACUUGAUGAGAUAUUUCAUGCAACAAUAUUUACAUUGCUAAAAUUUAGGAUCCAUAUUUACACGAGGCAAAAAGUAUAUAAUGGGCAUGAAUAACUAAUAACCUUAUCUAGGCCUGCUCUCUGUUUUCAGGAAGCGUGCAUAUUCCUGCUGCAACAUCUCUCCUCCAUGAACCAGAUCAAAGCUGCACCUGUAGAAACUGAUAACAGGGUUGAAAUCUGUGAGAUGGAAGAUGGUGGAAUGGAGUGAUCCAUCAAAAUAAGUAAAUAAAUGGUUGAAAACAAUUUAUUUCCUAUGUGAUCACUAUUAUCUAACAUCCUGCAGUGUCCACUAAAAAUCCACUGAUAACAAUCCCCAUCUCAAAUUAUCAUAACUGAAUUUUGUACUCAGACCAGAUAUUACUUAUAGUGUCUCUAUGACCUCAAUCAUUACGGAUAAUAUCUCAAUAUUUGGCCAGCUAGACCUAGUAUUUCAAUAAAAUGUUAAAAAGAGUAAUGUUUAAGAAUGAGGAAGCUGAAGCAAACGCAAAAUCAGAAAUAUAAUGUGAGAAAACAAAGAUGGGAGACAGCUCAGGAUAGAGGGAAAUCAGUGAUAAGGUUUUAGGAGAUCAAGAGAGGAAAUUGGGCAGAGAGGUUAGUCAUUGUCAAAAGACCAGACACAAAGCAUUUUUUUAUUAAUUAAAACAGCCAUUAAGCAACAAACUCUUAUAUUCAAACAACUCAAAAUUUCUUAUUGCAAAUAAAGAGGAACACAAAUGCAAAUGAACUAGAACUGUAGCAGGUAAAAGAACAAGAUAAGCUCAUACCUUCCAUCCAUGCCAACAAUAAUAACAGUAUUCUGGGAUCCAAAUGCUGCAAUGAAUUGGGUGUCAUUUGCUCAGUUCCACUUACCAGAAGACACCCAAUUCAUUGCAGCA